CAGUCGCCGCGGUAAUACGAAGGGGGCGAGCGUUGUUCGGAUUUACUGGGCGUAAAGGGCGCGCAGGCGGCUCUAUUUGUCAGGCGUGAAAGCCCCGGGCUUAACCUGGGAACUGCGUUUGGGACGGUAGGGCUAGAGAUCGGGAGAGGAGAGUGGAAUUCCCUGUGUAGAGGUGAAAUUCGUAGGUAUUGGGAAGAACACCGGUGGCGAAGGCGGCUCUCUGGACCGAUACUGACGCUGAGGCGCGAAAGCGUGGGGAGCAAACAGGAUUAGAUACCCCGGUAGUCCCUGUCUCUUAUAC
rnacentral:rRNA from 1 species